UGGGGAAUAUUGCACAAUGGGCGCAAGCCUGAUGCAGCCAUGCCGCGUGUAUGAAGAAGGCCUUCGGGUUGUAAAGUACUUUCAGCGGGGAGGAAGGCGAUAAGGUUAAUAACCUUGUCGAUUGACGUUACCCGCAGAAGAAGCACCGGCUAACUCCGUGCCAGCAGCCGCGGUAAUACGGAGGGUGCAAGCGUUAAUCGGAAUUACUGGGCGUAAAGCGCACGCAGGCGGUCUGUCAAGUCGGAUGUGAAAUCCCCGGGCUCAACCUGGGAACUGCAUUCGAAACUGGCAGGCUAGAGUCUUGUAGAGGGGGGUAGAAUUCCAGGUGUAGCUGUGAAAUGCGUAGAGAUCUGGAGGAAUACCGGUGGCGAAGGCGGCCCCCUGGACAAAGACUGACGCUCAGGUGCGAAAGCGUGGGGAGCAAACA
rnacentral:rRNA from 1 species